rnacentral:rRNA from 1 species
AACGAACGCUGGCGGCAGGCCUAACACAUGCAAGUCGAGCGGACAUCUUCGGAUUUUAGCGGCGGACGGGUGAGUAACGCGUGGGAACGUGCCCUUUGCUUCGGAAUAGCCUCGGGAAACUGGGAGUAAUACCGGAUGUACCCUUUGGGGGAAAGAUUUAUCGGCAAAGGAUCGGCCCGCGUUGGAUUAGGUAGUUGGUGGGGUAAUGGCCUACCAAGCCGACGAUCCAUAGCUGGUUUGAGAGGAUGAUCAGCCACACUGGGACUGAGACACGGCCCAGACUCCUACGGGAGGCAGCAGUGGGGAAUCUUAGACAAUGGGGGAAACCCUGAUCUAGCCAUGCCGCGUGAGCGAUGAAGGCCUUAGGGUUGUAAAGCUCUUUCACCGGGGAAGAUAAUGACGGUACCCGGAGAAGAAGCCCCGGCUAACUCCGUG